CCGGGCUCGUGUAUAGGGGACAUGAUUAGUGAAAUAACAGACAAAGCUUUAAACAACGGAAAACAACGCUACUGCAUGAACACCUCAAUUUUAGGUUUCAUGAACAACAUUUUUUACGAAUUUUGAAUCAUAGUUGUUUUCCCAGGCUGUUUUAAUACAUAAAUAUGCAACAGAUGAACAGACGAACGAUAAGUGUCUUGCACAUGGACAGUCCUUUUAAAUAAUUGUUCUGAGGGAAUGUAAAAUUCUUCACCAUGCACUUUGGACAUGUCUUUCAAAGGAAUUCAUUUAAUAUGACAAAAAAUAUUAGGUCCUUGGUGAGAUAAUU